GAUGAACGCUGGCGGCGUGCCUAAUACAUGCAAGUCGAGCGAACAGAUAAGGAGCUUGCUCCUUUGACGUUAGCGGCGGACGGGUGAGUAACACGUGGGUAACCUACCUAUAAGACUGGAAUAACUCCGGGAAACCGGGGCUAAUGCAGGAUAACAUGUUGAACCGCAUGGUUCUACAGUGAAAGGCGGCUUUGCUGUCACUUAUAGAUGGACCCGCGCCGUAUUAGCUAGUUGGUGAGGUAACGGCUCACCAAGGCAACGAUACGUAGCCGACCUGAGAGGGUGAUCGGCCACAAUUGAACUGAGACACGGUCCAGACUCCUACGGGAGGCAGCAGUAGGGAAUCUUCCGCAAUGGGCGAAAGCCUGACAGAGCAACGCCGCGAGAGUGAUGAAGGUCUUCGGAUCGUAAAACUCUGUUAUUAGGGAAGAACAAAUGCGUAAGUAACUAUGCGCGUCUUGACGGUACCUAAUCAGAAAGCCACGGCUAACUACGUG
rnacentral:rRNA from 1 species